rfam:Oryza glaberrima chromosome 8 Oglab08_0128_7, whole genome shotgun sequence.
UUUAAGUGCGGUCAUAAGUUUCCAUACAUUUAUUUGACUUUUUUUUAUGUUUAGUACAUUUAUUAUUAUUAGAUGAUAAAACAUGAAUAUUACUUUAUGCAUGACUUAUGUUCUUAAAUUUUUUUCAUAAAAUUUUCAAAUAAGAUGAACGAUCAAGAUUUGAUGCGAAAACUUAUGAUCGCGCUUAAA